rnacentral:rRNA from 1 species
CAAUAGCGUAUAUUAAAGUUGUUGCAGUUAAAAAGCUCGUAGUUGGAUUUCUGGCAGGAGCGACCGGUCACACACUCUGUGUGUGAACUUGCGUUGUCUCUGGCCAUCCUUGGGAAGAUCCUGUUUGGCAUUAAGUUGUCGGGCAGGGGAUACCCAUCGUUUACUGUGAAAAAAUUAGAGUGUUUAAAGCAGGCUUAUGCCGUUGAAUAUAUUAGCAUGGAAUAAUAAGAUAGGACUUCGGAACUAUUUUGUUGGUUUGCGUUACGAAGUAAUGAUUAAUAGGGACAGUUGGGGGUAUUCGUAUUUCGUUGUCAGAGGUGAAAUUCUUGGAUUUAUUGAAGACCAACUACUGCGAAAGCAUUUGCCAAGGAUGUUCUCAUUAA